UUAAGUUAUUAAGGGCGCACGGUGGAUGCCUUGGCACUAGAAGCCGAUGAAGGACGUUACUAACGACGAUAUGCUUUGGGGAGCUGUAAGUAAGCUUUGAUCCAGAGAUUUCCGAAUGGGGAAACCCAGCAUGAGUUAUGUCAUGUUAUCGAUAUGUGAAUACAUAGCAUAUCAGAAGGCACACCCGGAGAACUGAAACAUCUUAGUACCCGGAGGAAGAGAAAGAAAAUUCGAUUCCCUUAGUAGCGGCGAGCGAAACGGGAAGAGCCCAAACCAACAAGCUUGCUUGUUGGGGUUGUAGGACACUCUAUACGGAGUUACAAAGGACGACAUUAGACGAAUCAUCUGGAAAGAUGAAUCAAAGAAGGUAAUAAUCCUGUAGUCGAAAAUGUUGUCUCUCUUGAGUGGAUCCUGAGUACGACGGAGCACGUGAAAUUCCGUCGGAAUCUGGGAGGACCAUCUCCUAAGGCUAAAUACUCUCUAGUGACCGAUAGUGAACCAGUACCGUGAGGGAAAGGUGAAAAGCACCCCGGAAGGGGAGUGAAAUAGAACCUGAAACCGUGUGCUUACAAGUAGUCAGAGCCCGUUAAUGGGUGAUGGCGUGCCUUUUGUAGAAUGAACCGGCGAGUUACGAUUUGAUGCAAGGUUAAGCAGUAAAUGUGGAGCCGUAGCGAAAGCGAGUCUGAAUAGGGCGUUUAGUAUUUGGUCGUAGACCCGAAACCAGGUGAUCUACCCUUGGUCAGGUUGAAGUUCAGGUAACACUGAAUGGAGGACCGAACCGACUUACGUUGAAAAGUGAGCGGAUGAACUGAGGGUAGCGGAGAAAUUCCAAUCGAACCUGGAGAUAGCUGGUUCUCUCCGAAAUAGCUUUAGGGCUAGCCUCAAGUGAUGAUUAUUGGAGGUAGAGCACUGUUUGGACGAGGGGCCCCUCUCGGGUUACCGAAUUCAGACAAACUCCGAAUGCCAAUUAAUUUAACUUGGGAGUCAGAACAUGGGUGAUAAGGUCCGUGUUCGAAAGGGAAACAGCCCAGACCACCAGCUAAGGUCCCAAAAUAUAUGUUAAGUGGAAAAGGAUGUGGCGUUGCCCAGACAACUAGGAUGUUGGCUUAGAAGCAGCCAUCAUUUAAAGAGUGCGUAAUAGCUCACUAGUCGAGUGACACUGCGCCGAAAAUGUACCGGGGCUAAACAUAUUACCGAAGCUGUGGAUUGUCCUUUGGACAAUGGUAGGAGAGCGUUCUAAGGGCGUUGAAGCAUGAUCGUAAGGACAUGUGGAGCGCUUAGAAGUGAGAAUGCCGGUGUGAGUAGCGAAAGACGGGUGAGAAUCCCGUCCACCGAUUGACUAAGGUUUCCAGAGGAAGGCUCGUCCGCUCUGGGUUAGUCGGGUCCUAAGCUGAGGCCGACAGGCGUAGGCGAUGGAUAACAGGUUGAUAUUCCUGUACCACCUAUAAUCGUUUUAAUCGAUGGGGGGACGCAGUAGGAUAGGCGAAGCGUGCGAUUGGAUUGCACGUCUAAGCAGUAAGGCUGAGUAUUAGGCAAAUCCGGUACUCGUUAAGGCUGAGCUGUGAUGGGGAGAAGACAUUGUGUCUUCGAGUCGUUGAUUUCACACUGCCGAGAAAAGCCUCUAGAUAGAAAAUAGGUGCCCGUACCGCAAACCGACACAGGUAGUCAAGAUGAGAAUUCUAAGGUGAGCGAGCGAACUCUCGUUAAGGAACUCGGCAAAAUGACCCCGUAACUUCGGGAGAAGGGGUGCUCUUUAGGGUUAACGCCCAGAAGAGCCGCAGUGAAUAGGCCCAAGCGACUGUUUAUCAAAAACACAGGUCUCUGCUAAACCGUAAGGUGAUGUAUAGGGGCUGACGCCUGCCCGGUGCUGGAAGGUUAAGAGGAGUGGUUAGCUUCUGCGAAGCUACGAAUCGAAGCCCCAGUAAACGGCGGCCGUAACUAUAACGGUCCUAAGGUAGCGAAAUUCCUUGUCGGGUAAGUUCCGACCCGCACGAAAGGCGUAACGAUUUGGGCACUGUCUCAACGAGAGACUCGGUGAAAUCAUAGUACCUGUGAAGAUGCAGGUUACCCGCGACAGGACGGAAAGACCCCGUGGAGCUUUACUGUAGCCUGAUAUUGAAAUUCGGCACAGCUUGUACAGGAUAGGUAGGAGCCUUUGAAACGUGAGCGCUAGCUUACGUGGAGGCGCUGGUGGGAUACUACCCUAGCUGUGUUGGCUUUCUAACCCGCACCACUUAUCGUGGUGGGAGACAGUGUCAGGCGGGCAGUUUGACUGGGGCGGUCGCCUCCUAAAAGGUAACGGAGGCGCUCAAAGGUUCCCUCAGAAUGGUUGGAAAUCAUUCAUAGAGUGUAAAGGCAUAAGGGAGCUUGACUGCGAGACCUACAAGUCGAGCAGGGUCGAAAGACGGACUUAGUGAUCCGGUGGUUCCGCAUGGAAGGGCCAUCGCUCAACGGAUAAAAGCUACCCCGGGGAUAACAGGCUUAUCUCCCCCAAGAGUUCACAUCGACGGGGAGGUUUGGCACCUCGAUGUCGGCUCAUCGCAUCCUGGGGCUGUAGUCGGUCCCAAGGGUUGGGCUGUUCGCCCAUUAAAGCGGUACGCGAGCUGGGUUCAGAACGUCGUGAGACAGUUCGGUCCCUAUCCGUCGUGGGCGUAGGAAAUUUGAGAGGAGCUGUCCUUAGUACGAGAGGACCGGGAUGGACAUACCUCUGGUGUACCAGUUGUCGUGCCAACGGCAUAGCUGGGUAGCUAUGUGUGGACGGGAUAAGUGCUGAAAGCAUCUAAGCAUGAAGCCCCCCUCAAGAUGAGAUUUCCCAACUUCGGUUAUAAGAUCCCUCAAAGAUGAUGAGGUUAAUAGGUUCGAGGUGGAAGCAUGGUGACAUGUGGAGCUGACGAAUACAAAUCGAUCGAAGACUUAAUCAA
rnacentral:rRNA from 1 species